rnacentral:rRNA from 1 species
ACUACGGGAGGCAGCAGUAGGGAAUCUUCCACAAUGGGCGAAAGCCUGAUGGCGCACCGCCGCGUGGGUGAAGAAGGUCUUCGGAUCGUAAAACCCUGUUGUUAGAGAAGAAAGUGCGUGAGAGUAACUGUUCACGUUUCGACGGUAUUUAACCAGAAAGCCACGGCUAACUACGUACCAGCAGCCGCGGUAAUACGAAUGUGGCACGCGUGAUCCGGAUUUAUUGGGCGUAAAGGGAACGCAGGCGGUCUUUUAAGUCUGAUGUGAACGCCUUCGGCUUAACCGGAGUAGUGCAUGGGAAACUGGGAGACGUGAGUGCAGAAGAGGAGAGUGGAACUCCAUGUGUAGCGGUGAAAUGCGUAGAUAUAUGGAAGAACACCAGUGGCGAAAGCGGCUCUCUGGUCUGUAACUGACGCUGAGGUUCGAAAGCGUGGGUAGCAAACAGGAUUAGAUACCCCAGUAGUC